UACAGAGGUCUCAAGCGUUGUUCGGAUUCAUUGGACGUAAAGGGUGCGUAGGCGGCGCGGUAAGUCGGGUGUGAAAUCUCGGAGCUUAACUCCGAAACUGCAUUCGAUACUGCCGUGCUUGAGGACUGGAGAGGAGACUGGAAUUCCUGGUGUAGCGGUGAAAUGCGCAGAUAUCAGGAGGAACACCGGUGGCGAAGGCGGGUCUCUGGGCCGAUAACUGACGCUGGAGGAGCGAAAGCGUGGGGAGCGAACAGG
rnacentral:rRNA from 1 species